UAGGUAUCAUAACGUUGGUUUGGGAAGUGGGGACACUCCAGUACAGUAGGUAUCAUAACGUUGGUUGGACAGGUGGGAAGUGGGGACACUCCAGUACAGUAGGUAUCAUAACGUUGGUUGGACAGGUGGGAAGUGGGGACACUCCAGUACAGUAGGUCGGAUGCCAAUAAACCCCACAGAAGAAGAGGCGAUGGAGACAACGGUUGACAGUGUCCUUCGCUCUUCCUGUUCAGGCACUGUUUUCCCUGCAGUUCUGUUAACAAGGGCAGGU
ensembl:lncRNA